AUCAUAGACUCAUAGAAUAUCAGGGCUGGAAGGGACCUCAGGAGGUCAUCUAGUCCAAUCCCCUGCUCAAAGUAGAACCAAUUCCGAACUAAAUCAUCUGAGACAGGGCUUUGUCAAGCCCGACCUUAAAAACCUUGAAGGAAGGAGAUUCAAACACCUCCCUAGGUAACCCA